rnacentral:rRNA from 1 species
AUACGAAUGGAGCAAGCGUUGUUCGGAAUCACUGGGCGUAAAGCGUACGUAGGCGGAUUUUUAAGUCAGAAGUGAAAGCCCAGGGCUCAACCCUGGAACUGCUUUUGAAACUGGAAGUCUAGAGUCCCGGAGAGGUUAGGGGAAUUCCGAGUGUAGCAGUGAAAUGCGCAGAUAUUCGGAGGAACACCAGUGGCGUAGGCGCCUAACUGGACGGGAACUGACGCUGAGGUACGAAAGCGUGGGGAGCAAAGGGAGUAGAAACCCUAGUAGUCC